rnacentral:rRNA from 1 species
CUACGGGACGCUGCAGUAGGGAAUUUUCGGCAAUGGGCGCAAGCCUGACCGAGCAAUGCCGCGUGAAUGAUGAAGGUCUUCGGAUCGUAAAGUCCUGUUGUUAAGGAAGAACAAUUAGUCCAGGAAAUGGGAUUAAUCUGACGGUACUUAACCAGAAAGCUCCGGCUAACUACGUGCCAGCAGCCGCGGUAAUACGUAGGGAGCGAGCGUUAUCCGGAAUUAUUGGGCGUAAAGCGUGCGUAGGCGUUUUGUUAAGUCAAAUGUGAAAGCCCCCAGCUUAACUGGGGAGAGUCAUUUGAAACUGGCAGAAUUGAGUACGGCAGAGGUUAGUGGAAUUCAAUGUGUAGCGGUGGAAUGCGUAGAUAUAUUGAGGAACACCAGUGGCGAAGGCGGCUAACUGGACCGGAACUGACGCUGAUGCACGAAAGCGUGGGGAGCAAACAGGAUUAGAUACCCUCGUAGUC